rnacentral:lncRNA from 1 species
GAUUAGAAAGAUUAUAUAUUUUCAAAUUCCUCUUUUUGUAAUUGUACAUAUCACUGUUGGUUAAUUUGAGGUGGUCCAAGUUACAGUAUGAGGUAAAAUUAUGUUGAUCCAUUUUAACUUAGUUGUUAAUAUUGGUCACUAAAACACAUAAAUGUAAAUUUUCUUGAUCCAAUAAAGAAACGGGUUUGUAACUUAUUAUUAAUAUUUUCUACUUUUCAGGACGGGAACAGCAACAAAAGUUUAACUUCUGAUUCGUAAUCCACACGCUCUACUGGUAACACUGCUGACACCUAGUGAUUAGUUUUAGUAACAUUACUGAUAAAUACAAAUACAUUCUGUUACUAACAAUAAUGUCUUGUGUGAAGUGUUCAUUCUGUAUUAAAACAGUCUUUGUUUAAAAUAAUCUUUAAAACUACGCUUUGAAAUGAUUCUGGCAGUAUGUUUUUGAAAAUCUGUUCACCAAAAAGGUAAAAAUUGGCAUUGUGAAGUUAUAUUUAUAAUAAUCGUUUAUAUUUAUAUUUGUGUUUCAGGGCAGUUGGUGAAGACAGAGAGAUGUUGUGACGUCCAGGACAGUUCCUCCUUCAACACCAGACUCUGCUGGCACCUAUUUUUCAAGGACACCCUCAGAAUUACAACAAAUUUUAAGGCUUAAAAUUAUUGUGGUUUGGAGUAUAAUGAACAUAAUAUGAAUGUUUCAUAAAUUAUUUUGUGGAUUUUCUGAACCCUUAAUAACUGUUAUUUUUUCUUAUUUUGAGCAAAUUUGAGUCGUGACAUGUCAAAGGAGAACAAAAGCUGUGAACAGAAGAAGGGUCAGAUGUGUGUGUUCUGCGAAGUCCUGCAAACAUACUGGCAAAAUGAGAGUCAUCGAGGAACCAGCUUGUUCUUGAAACAUUGGACGGUACAGAAAGUGCACAAGUGGGAGAGAGUGGAGGGGACGGCGUCAGAAAGGACCUAGCGCUGGGACACUUUCAAGGAUCACCCGAACCACAACCACACUGUAUACACGAGGCUGCUGGUUCUAACAUUUUAGAGUCCCCUUUGGUAGAAAUCACAUUUUGGAGGAUCUGUCCAGAUCUUUCACCAUAGAAAACAUUUGGCGCAUCAUAAAGAGGAAGAUGUGACAAAGAAGACCGAAGACAGUUGAGCAGCUAGAAGCCUGUAUUAGACAAGAAUGGAACAACAUUCCUAUUCCUAAACUUGAGCAACUUGUCUCCUCAGUCCCCAGACGUUUGCAGACUGUUAUAAAAAGAAGAGCGGAUGCCACACAGUGGUAAACAUGGUCUUGUCCCAACUUUGAGAUGUGUUGAUGCCAUGAAAUUUAAAAUUAACUUAUUUUUCCCUUAAAAUGAUACAUUUUCUCAGUUUAAACAUUUGAUAUGUCAUCUAUGUUGUAUUCUGAAUAAAAUAUUGAAAUUUGAAACUUCCACAUCAUUGCAUUCUGUUUUUAUUCAGAAUUUGUACAGUGUCCAAACUUUUUUGGAAUUGGGU